UACGUAGGGUGCAAGCGUUCCUCGGAAUUACUGGGCGUAAAGCGUGCGCAGGCGGUUAUGCAAGACCGAUGUGAAAUCCCCGGGCUCAACCUGGGAACUGCAUUUGUGACUGCAUAGCUAGAGUACGGUAGAGGGGGAUGGAAUUCCGCGUGUAGCAGUGAAAUGCGUAGAUAUGCGGAGGAACACCGAUGGCGAAGGCAAUCCCCUGGACCUGUACUGACGCUCAUGCACGAAAGCGUGGGGAGCAAACAGG
rnacentral:rRNA from 1 species